GGAGUCUAGCAUGUGCGCGAGUCAUUGGGACAUAAUUAAACCUAAAGGCGCAAUGAAAGUAAAAGUUCGUCUUGCACGGACUUAGGGAGGAUGGGUGAUCGUUUCGGCUAUUACCCCGCACUCCCGGGGCGUCUCAUUCUCAUUGCGAGAAGAGGCGCACCAAGAGCGUACACGCUGGGACCCGAAAGAUGGUGAACUAUGCCUGGUCAGGACGAAGUCAGGGGAAACCCUGAUGGAGGUCCGUAGCGAUUCUGACGUGCAAAUCGAUCGUCGGAACUGGGUAUAGGGGCGAAAGACUAAUCGAACCAUCUAGUAGCUGGUUCCCUCCGAAGUUUCCCUCAGGAUAGCUGGCGCUCGUCGCCUACGAGUUUCAUCCGGUAAAGCGAAUGAUUAGAGGCAUUGGGGUCGAAACGGCCUCAACCUAUUCUCAAACUUUAAAUGGGUGAGAUCUCCGGCUUGCUCGAAUUCAUGAAGCCGUGAGAAUCGAAUCAGAGUGCCAAGUGGGCCAUUUUUGGUAAGCAGAACUGGCGCUGUGGGAUGAACCAAACGCCGAGUUAAAGCGCCUAAAUCGACGCUUAUGGGAUACCAUGAAAGGCGUUGGUAACUUAAGACAUCAGGACGGUGGCCAUGGAAGUC
rnacentral:rRNA from 1 species